UUUUUUUUUAAUGUAUUAAAUGAGGACACAGAGUUCACAGACCAGUGCUAAUAGUUAAAUAAAGAUGCUACACUUUCCUCUCAGCGUCAUGUCUUCGGUGCCAGCCACUUCCGAUCCACCGGUUCUAUCCUCAAGCGCCGAGACACGA
ensembl:snoRNA